rnacentral:rRNA from 1 species
UACGUAGGGUGCAAGCGUUAAUCGGAAUUACUGGGCGUAAAGCGUGCGCAGGCGGUUUUGCAAGACAGAUGUGAAAUCCCCGGGCUUAACCUGGGAACUGCAUUUGUGACUGCACGGCUGGAGUGCGGCAGAGGGGGAUGGAAUUCCGCGUGUAGCAGUGAAAUGCGUAGAUAUGCGGAGGAACACCGAUGGCGAAGGCAAUCCCCUGGGCCUGCACUGACGCUCAUGCACGAAAGCGUGGGGAGCAAACAGG